AUUGAACGCUGGCGGCAGGCCUAACACAUGCAAGUCGAGCGAGCGGCGGACGGGUGAGUAAUGUAUGGGGACUGCCCGAUAGAGGGGGAUAACUACUGGAAACGGUGGCUAAUACCGCAUACUAUCGGAUAACCCAUAUGGGAUUAGCUAGUAGGUGGGGUAACGGCUCACCUAGGCGACGAUCUCUAGCUGGUCUGAGAGGAUGAUCAGCCACACUGGAACUGAGACACGGCCCAGACUCCUACGGAGGCAGCAGUGGGGAAUCUUCGGCAAUGGGCGAAAGUCUGACCCAGCCACGCCGCGUGGGUGAAGAAGGUUUUCGGGUCGUAAAACUCUUUUGUUGGAGAGGCGGUAUCUAACCAGAAAGCCACGGCUAACUACGUGCCAGCAGCCGCGGUAAUUC
rnacentral:rRNA from 1 species